rnacentral:lncRNA from 1 species
GAAAUUGGCGCGGUUUGUAGUUCCUGUAUCAUACUUGAACCAACCUUCAUUUCAAGACUUGUUGAGUCAAGCCGAGGAAGAGUUUGGAUAUGAUCAUCCAAUGGGUGGCCUCACCAUUCCUUGCACCGAAGAUGUCUUCCAACACAUAACUUCUUGCUUGAAUGGACUAUGAAUCUUAUACUAUACGCUAGAUUAGUUGAGACAUUUUUCAAAUAGGAAUUUAUUUGACUUGUGAAGUUGUAAAUAUAUGACACUUUUCAUGAGAAAUGGAGAAAUAUUACCAUCUGAAUAUCAAAUUCAAAAAUAUACUGUCCUCUUUUUCCUUGUUUAAUAACACUGAGCUCCGUUAUUUUAUAAAGAAUAACUCUGCUUAUUUAAAUAUUAAAUCCUAUCACAAUUUAUAGUUUAUUCUUAAAGUUUAAGUCUAUUCAAAUGAUAUGAUCCAUUACAUUUAUUUCUCUAAUACUAGCAAAAUUAAUGUCAUUUUAAAAUCCAGAUUAACCUUUUUAUGUAACAAACACGUUUUGCUAAUUCCAGGUAGCUAACUAAAAUUCUUGAACUAAAUCGAUAACUACUGAUUAUUUAGCCAGUUUAACAAGGCUUGUUCUAUGUCUUCAGAAAUUGCCUUUGUGCCCAUUUAUUAUAUACUAGCUUGAGCUAGCUUGGUUGAAUUUUUUACUAAUACUCAAAUACGAAAAGUUUAACAUCAUUAUUUUAACUAAUCUUAUAUCCUAAGUAGAAAUUAACUAGCUCCUAGACUUCAACUUUUCUCAACUUUCCCGCUAACUAAUGAUUUUAAAUCCUAUCGGUAAUUAGAAGAAAAUUCAAACUGGCCUGCUGGUAGGACUUGUCAAAGUCUUUCACUAGUAGUUUUUUUCCCAGACAUUCCAAAACAGAAAAAUCGCAAAUUUUGUUGUUACAGUUGAAUGUUUAUCUAUAGGGACUGAGGAACAGUUACUCUAUACCCUUCUAAUGUUUGGCAUUGUCCCAAAUGAACUCAAUUAUACAGAAUCUGUAAUAGAUCUAAACAAAGAAAAAAAACUAGCAGAUGGUAAAAUAUGUGGCUAGUCCCAUGUUCAUAAAUUGAAAUUACACAUUUUUUACAGCAAAAUAGAAAUUAGUCGCUCUUUUUUUAGAGCAAAAAUGUAACUAGUAAUUUCAAAGCAAAAGAAAAACAACUUUGUCAUUAAAGAAUUUGAUUAUAAAUUGUAAAGUUGACUAUUUUUAACUUAAUUUUGUUAUUAAGAAAAUAACAAUUCGUCACCUGAGAGAUUCGAACUCUCGCGGGGAAACCCCAUGUACUUAGCAGGCACACGCCUUAACCACUCGGCCAAAGUGACUUGUUGCUAGAGCAAUUUUUAUCCAAUAAUUAUGUGCUUCUCUGCAGAUUGUUUUUUUUUUUUUUUUGCAAUAAAUACAAUCUAUGAUCGUUAAAUCAUUUUUUUUAUGGAUGAUUGUUAAAUCAUGAUAGUUACUAACUUUUAUUUUUUUAAUUUAUUUUUGCAAAACGGGGGAUUGAUUUUAUAUUUGAAUAACUGAAUCUUUCAUUAUUGUGGAGAAAUAUAGAGAAAAUAUUGUUAAUAAAUUUCUCAUUGAGAUGAACAUUUUUACAACCAAGUAUGAUAACAACAAAAGAUUAAAUCUUUUGAAUGUGAGAAACUAAACUGCUACAAAAAUGGGUCAAAUAUCUACAUUAGUCCAAUGAUAUCUUCAAAGAGCUAAUUCAAUUCAAGUGAGAAAUGAUAUCUAAGAAAAUCUCUUCUCUGCAAGGAAUAGUGAGACCACCCAUUGGAUGGUCAUAUUCAAAUUGUUCCUCAGCUUGGUUCAACAAUUCUUGGAAUGAGGUUUGGUUCAAGUAUGAUACAGGAAUCACAAACCGCUUCAUUUUCUCUCCUACGUACACUGCUAGAUACCCCUUUGGCACCUCCAAACCUUUUGAAGAUGAUGCCUUUGAUCUGAUGAUACUUGGUAAACGAAAACCCAUUGUUGUAUGUAUGUGUUGAAAAUAAAGACUUGUUUGUAAAUAGAAUGCUCAAGUUUCUGAAUUUCAAAUGCUUUUGGUUGUGAAUGGUUGUGUGUUGGUCCAAAAUGCUUGUAUAUAUAGACGAAUGAAAGGAUAUGUAACAAACAGUCGGCAACUUGCAGGAGAGCCACGAGAUGGAUUAGAGUCAUGAAAACUAUGGGAGACAAGUCCAUAUGAAAGAUCACAUGGUUUUGUUUUGGAGGACUUACACAUGGGUCAACAUCAAACUAAUUUCAUGGUAGAUAAUGCACCCCCUUCAAAUAAUGCAGAUUAGUCUAUCCGUUCGUUAGGUCGAUACUAGCUGGACAUCAGCACUUUGAUAAUGAAGAAAACAUGUCUGAAACAUGUUUACAAAAUUAUGAAGUGAUAGUUAAUGCAUGAACAAAUAUGAGGUUGAAUUUGAAAGGGUGGUGUACAAUCUUUAGACAACCCACAUGCUAUAUCAUCUUAUCCUUUAAUUCUUUCAAACAAUAAUUUAUCUUGGAAUUAGGUUUGCAAAGAAUAUUAGUAACUAUAAAUAUACUUACAAAUAGGCAUCAAACACAACACAAGUCAUUGGUAUCCUAAAGUAUUAGUUAGAUUCUUCUAAAUUUUUGUGAUCUUUGCUUUCUUGAGUUUGUUCUUCACCUUCAAACAAUCACCAAAAAUGGGUUUCCGCUUAAAUGUUAUUCGACAGGCAUCAUUUGCGACUAGCCAAGCAGCAUCAAAAUCAGCAGGAGUUCCAAAGGGCUAUGUUGCAGUAUAUGUCGGAGAGAAACAGACGCGGUUUGUGAUCCCAAUAUCAUACUUAAACCAACCAUUGUUUCAAGAAUUGCUACAUCAAGCGGAAGAAGAAUUUGGAUAUGAUCAUCCCAUGGGUGGACUCACCAUUCCUUGCACUGAAGAUGUCUUUCAACACAUAACUUCUUGCUUGAAUGAGCCAUAAAUCUGACACUUUAGCAUACUGACAGAUUAUAGAGAAAUUUUGUACCAUACAAAUUUUUUAACUUGUAAAAAUUAUACCUUUUUAUUGGAAACAUCGAAAAAUACUUAUCUGAAUUAAAAGAAAAACAACUUUCAUAUUUCCUUCUUGUGUAAUGACAAUAAGAUCAGUUACUUUAUCAAUUACAAUUUCAGCACUCCGCAAUUUGAACAUCACAAAAAAAAAAGAGCUAUCUGCUUGCCUAAGGAAAAAUGUAGACUUGUAUGUCCUCAAAUUUGACAGUAAAAAUAAUAUGAACAGUCAGUGCAGAGCUAAACUUAUUUUUCAGAACCAAACAUAAGUUGUAUCCACAGAACAAAAUCAGUUUUGCUAAUUCAAUUAGCUAACGGGGAAAGGACCUACCAUCAAAUGUACAUGAAAGAAUAAGGGAAAAAAAUAUGAUUCAAAGAACAAGUGUGUGCUACUCAUGCGACUUUGAUAACGCCUAUUAAGAGUUAUUUGGAAUAACAUGCACAUCAGAUGAUCCAGACGAUUAUAACUUUUUUAGGCAUUAACAGAGUGAAAUUAAAAUAUUGUUAGAGUGCACUUGUAGUGAAAUGUUAACAUUGGACAAUUUCUUUUCAAGAGAGAAAUAAUUGUUUUCAUUUAAUGACCGUCUUACGAUUCUAUAUUGAACAAUUGUCAUACUGGAGCCUUUGAUUAUCAAAAAGAUUGUUGAGGGAAUAAUUUAAGAAGAUAUAUUCAUAAAUUCCUCAUUCAGAUGAACUUGUCUACAAAAACGGUUGAUAAAAACAAAAGAGAAUAUUUCCAUGAUAAGAUCUACUGUUACAAAAAUUUGGUCAACUAUCUAUGUCAAUCUAAUCUGAGUUAUCUUCAUAAGAUGUUAGCACCUACUCAAGCGAGAAGUGAUAUCUAAGAAAAGAUCUUCUUCACAAGGAAUUGUAAGACCACCCAUUGGAUGGUCAUAUCCAAAUUCUUCGACAGCCUGGCUGAGCAACUCUUGAAGUGAAGUUUGAUUCAAAUAUGACAUUGGAAUUACAAACCGCUUCAUUUUUACUCCUACGUACACCGCAAGGUAUCCCUUUGGCAUAUCCAAGCCUUUUGAAGAUGAUGCCCUUCUGAUACCAGGUAAAUGAAAACCCAUUCUUGUAUGUCUAGAAAAAAAAAUUAUUGCUCUAGAAAAUACUAGUAAACAAUACUCAAGUUUCUGAAUUUCAAAUUGCUAAGAAUGUGAGAGAUUUGUGUUGGUUCGAAAUGUUUAGCAGUCAUGAAUAUAUAUAGCUGAAAGGAUACAUAACAAGUCGUCGGAAAUUGUAAUAAUCAAUGAAGGAGGGCCAUAAGAUAUGAGUCAUGCCCAGACAAGGGCAUAUGAAAGAUCACAUGGAGUUGUCUUAGAGACUUCAAGCGUUAUGGUAGCUAGAUAAUGCAUAAUUCUUGAGAAGAAGCAUCAUAUAAUUGAUAGACUUGUAAGUAGAACCACAAACAUGUAGAAUGGUUUCUGUUGAUCUAUUGUUAUCUAUGGCCUUAUAGUCACUUACUAGCUGGACAUCAGCAUUGUCAUAAUGAAGAAAACAUGUCUUCAGCAUGUUUAUAAAAUUAUGAAGGACAUCUCAUUUGGUAGGAAGUGGAAGCUUUGUAUUGGACAUUGUUUAAGAAGGUAGGGUACACUCUAAGACAGCACCACAUGCUACCUUAUCACUAUGCUCUCUAUCCUUCCACCCCUUCAAUAAUAGUUUUUCUAGGAAUUGGGUUUUGAGAUAACUUCAAACUCUAUAAAUACACUUCCUCUCUCCUUCACAAACAGCACAACUCAUUAGCAUCAUCAAUUACUUAGUUACAUCCUUCUUACUUUUGAUAUUUUUUUCUCUGUUCUUCUCUCGAACAAUAAGAAAAAUGGGUUUCCGUUUACAUACUAUUCUAAAGGGUUCAGUAAAAUCAAAAUCUAUAGAAGUGAGAAAGGGCUAUGUUGCAGUGUAUGUUGGAGAGAAACUGACGCGUUUUGUCGUUCCUGUGUCAUAUUUGAACCAACCUUCAUUUCAAGACUUGUUGAAUCAGGCUGAGGAAGAGUUUGGAUAUGAUCAUCCAACGGGUGGCCUCACCAUUCCAUGCUCCGAAGAUGUGUUCCAACAUAUAACUUCUUGCUUCAAUGGACUAUGAAUCUUAUACUAUACGCUAGAUUAGUUGAGACAUUUUUCAAAUAGGUGUUUAUUUGACUUGUGAAUUAGUUGUAAAUAUAUGACACUUUUCAUGAGAAAUGGAGAAAUAUUACCAUCUGAAUAUCAAAUUCAAAAAUAUACUGUUCUCUUUAUCCUUGUUUAAUUUACAGUGAGCUUAGUUAUUUUAUCAGUUACAACUUUCACCGGUUUUAGUUAGUUCUUUAGUAUAAGCCUGCUUAUAAAGAAUAACUAUACUUCUUUAAAAAUUAAAUCCUAUCACUAGUUUGUUCUUAAAGUUUAAGUAUGUUCAAAUGAUAUGAUCUAUUACAUUUAUUUCUCU